rnacentral:sRNA from 1 species
UGCCCACACUGGUUUAGAAUGACGAUGGUUGCGAGAUCUACACCACGACUCCUCGUUUGCUCCGCGUUUUCUAUCGUACAUUGACAAUCCUGCGCUCCAAAGAUUAUCAAAGUGUGCGCUGUGACAUUCUUGAGCCCAUCAAUCAUCCUUUUACCCAUCGCAGCAGUCCGAUCACAAUCCCGCAUCUUUUCCAGGCACCAAAAUGAAUAGUCCUGAUCCCCUAUCAUCUCCAGAUAUCCAGGCAGAUGAGUUUCGGGAUCAAAAAAAUAGAUAGGGAUGAUUCGGAUCAUGAACUCCUUCAGCUCCUCAUCGCCAGUUGGAAAAUCCGUACACAGUGUAUGAUACGCUAACUCGAAUCGAACAUCUCCAUCCCGCUCCUCUCGAUGCCGCAUAAGCGCUGUCGAGUCAUCAUGCCCAAGCAGCCAGUUAUCGAUCAGCACGAGUUUCGCAAUAUAUCGUGGGAACAUUUCGGCAUACGCCAGCACGAUCGUCCCUCCAUGUGAGUGCUCCAGCAUCAUUGGGUAGCGGUCUAUGUUUAAGUACUGCCGAAACAAUUCUAGGUCGGCAGCCAUGUCGAACGACGUCAUUUCAGAGGAGUUUGUGGGCCUGGAGGACCCUGCGGAUCCACGUGGAUGAAAGAAGAGGAGUUUGUACUCAUGUUCUAACGGGGCGAGACCCGAUUGAAGGUAUCGUGGUCCUAUGCCCCAGCCUGGACGUUGGAUAAGAACCAUUGGACCCUUGUUAGCAGUUGCGUUUCCGCGAAUGGUGUAUCUGAAUAUCAAACCAUUUGGGGCGUUGAAUGUAUGAGUGCCUAGGGAUAGCUGGCCCAUGAUAGCGGUUUAGAAGGACAUAUCCAGUUAAGUUGCGAAGGCGGCUUGCUUGCCUUGCGCCAGAGAUGGGAGUUGUUUACAGCUGAUGACAUCAUCGUCUGAGAUGUGGUAAGCCGUUUAAAAAGUCUAAAAGCCA